CACCUCCAAAAGGUAAUAAUUCAUAAUUUUGUCCUUUAUAAUCAAUAUUAUUUUCUAUAAACCUUUCUGGGAUAAACUCUUCAGGGUUAACCCAACACUCUGGAUCUCGUCCAAUGGCCCAUACAUUGACAUGAAGAUGAGCCUUUGGAUGUAUAUCAUAACCAUUAAGCUUAAAAUGAGACGUGGUUUCUCUUGGAAUGAGAAGUGGGACUGGUGGGUGCAACCUUAGAACCUCUUUCACUACCAUUUUUAGAUAUGGAAGCCUUUCAAGGUCCGUUUCUUUUACUUGUUCCUUUUUUAUGUAGCUUCUAAUUUGGUCUUGUAGCUUUUUCAUUACUCUAGGCUUUCUAAUUAGCUCUGCCAUUGCCCAAACAAUGGUGUUUGCUCCAGUUUCCACUCCUGCUAUAAAGAUAUCCUAAAAAGAACAACACUUAAAAUGAAACUUGAAUUUUGUUUGAUAGCAAUAAGAUUAAAAAAUGAAAGUUGAAUUUUGUUUGAUAACAAUUAACUUUUUUUUAAAAAAAAAAAAAUUUAAAAGAAUAAUAUUGACACACCCAUUUUUAUGUGUUAGACUCUUUCUAAGCCUACCGAAAAAACAAUCAAAAUAACUUAAAAGUAAAGUAAAGAAUAUCGAAUAGUUUAAUAGGAUGGACAAAGGUAUAGAUGCACCUAAAUCUUUCUAUUUUGAAAAUUAAACUUAUGAACGUUAUUUUAUAUCUUACAUCUUUUUUUUUGUUAUCUAAUAAUUUUUUCACAAAUAUUUCAUAAAACCAUUCAAAGUUCUGAAAACUAAAUACCGCCACGUGCUAGAGACGAUGCGGAACGGCCAACGUCCUCAAAAGAGCUAUUUUUAAAAGAAAAUAGGAGUUUUAAUCUCUUGACACUAGUCUCCUUUUUUUAAAAAAAAAAUUAUGUUUAGACACAUUUAGAUGGGUUGCAGAAAAUAAGUGAUGCAUGCAUAUAAUUAGACACACUUAUGUUUUUUUACGAGGAAAAAAAGACUUAGAUACAACGUCAGAUUGUACCUAUUACAAAAAGAAGAAAAAAAAGAUUAAAAACAAAAAUUCAUAACUUAUGAUUAGACACAUUUAGAUGAGUUGCACAACACUAACUGAUGCAUGCUAAAAAAUAUAGUUGGACGAUGGGUAGGUUGGACCCAUCUAAUUUAUGCAACUUUACUCAAUUAAAAAUUUUAAUGUGACCCAAGUAAUUUUGUGUGUGUGUGUGUGUUUUUUUUUAUUGAAUUGUUAUUUUUUUGCUGUAUAAUAUAUAUAUGACAGCUCGGAGAUAACUACUAAUUGCCAUUUUUCUUUUUGACUUUAGUUAAGAAUUUAAAUGUUUCUAAGGAUGAACUGACCCCUCUAUUAUUGUUCCCAUGUGAAAAAAUCUAACUAAUUUUCAAGAAUGAAAUGAUUAUAAAAUACAGAACCACGUAAUUAAAAUUUUAAAAUAUUUAGCUUAUUACCUUGAUUAUUGCUUUAAUGCAAUCUUGUGUAAGGAUGAGUGCAUCAGAUUGAAAGCCGUCUCUCUUCAUUCUCAACAAAACAUCAACAAUGUUUUCUUCAUUUCCAGAAGUUCCCUUGUCCAUGUUUAUACGAUCAUCGACUACCUUUUGAAAAAAAGCAUCCAUCUCACCAAAGCUCUUCUCCAGCUUCCCAUGAACACCACUGAUUCGAUCAACAAUCCAACCGAAACUCGGAAAGAAAUCGCUAAUUGAGAAGCCUUUAAUGGCGUCAAUUGUUCUGCGCAUAACCUUUUGAAAAUUUUGGUUAUCUAGUUCACCCCCUCUAAAGCUCUUCCCAAAAGCAAUUCUUGUCGUAAUAUUGGCAGUAAGAGAAUAGCUUUUGUCACCCAAAUCAAUUGGAUUUGAAGAAAAUUUUAAGGAUUGUUGAGAGAUUGAGUUUAUGAGCAAACUCACUUCCUCUUCUCUGAUAUGAUGAAAUGAUUGCACUCGUUUAGUACUAAAGAGCUCGAGUAUGAAAAUCUUUCGAAGCUCUCUCCAACGCUCGCCAUAUGGAGACAAACUCAGGUCUUGAAAGUUAUAGGAAAAUCUUGCACUUCCCAUUAAGCGAGGGCGGCUGCAAGAUGCGAGAUCAUGGUGUUUGAAUAGCUCUCUCGCGGCUGUUGCGGAAGAAAUGACGACGGUCGGGAUGGAGCCGAGUUUCAGAAGCAUGAUGGGACCGUAUGUUCGUGAAAGGUUGCAUAAAGAGUGAUGAGGGUGGGAGCCAAGGAGGUGUAAAUGACCCAAUAAAGGAAGCUUUGGAGGGCUUGGAGGAGGAUUAGUAAUAAGCUUCUUGUUGUUGCUGUGAAUAAGCUUUUUUGUUUUGAGAAGAAGUAGAGAAGUUAAGAGAAAAAGGAGAGGAAACCAUAUGAGAAUGCUAUUCAUCAUCAUCUCUCAACAGUGUAAUAAUGCAUUUCCAAUGUUUGGGCAAAGUCUAUAUAUAUAGGGAACUUUUAUCAUAUAUGUUUUUAAAUACACAAGUGCACUAAGUAACUUACUGAAUCUUCGACUUUGAGAUGGAAGUCAUGUCCAUACCACCUAGACAAGCUCAGUCUACGACAAACACUUCUAUCGUGCUCGUUAUUUAAAAAAAAAAAAAAGAAGAUAAAUUUACCAGCGAGUGAAGCUACCUUACGAGUCUGGUAAAAAUUAAAUAAAAUAGCACUUAAUCAUAAAAAUUAAAAUUAAAAGAAAAAUUGUAUUUGAUAGCAAAAAUAACCAACCAUUUGAGAUAAUGAGAUAUUGUUGAGAUAUUUGCAAUCUUGUCUCCAAUAAUUUUCACCUUUCCAAAGCUAUUAGCGUCUGCAUCCUAAAAACUCCAUGAAUUUUGAUAGUUAAAGGAUGACCACACACCACACUUAAAAGGGACAGCAAUAGCCAUUUUUAACAGGAAGGUCAUGCUGCCUAUAAGUGAAUUAUUGAGGUCAGUCUAAAAAGUCAUCAAAGCAAGCUAACAAAUAUGUGUUCACAGAGCCAAUCCAAACAUCUCUGUUAGGGAGCAUAUAUAUAUAUAUAUGACACUAUGUAUACCCUUUCAGUCUUUUACCUGAUCUUGUAAUUAAUUUUUAAAACUAAAAAGAAUAUGAUAAAUUAUUUUAAGUAACAAAACUUUUGAAUAUAUUAAUAAAUAUAGCAAAGUAUAUUACAAAGGGUAAUCUAUCUUGAUUUAUAUUCAUUGUUCAUUGUAAAUAGACUAUCAUAUCUUACUAUAUUUAAAAAUAAUAAUCAUUUUAAUUAAUUAGCUGUCGUUAAUUCAUCAUUGCUAUUAAAAUUAAGUAUAAAACGUUCUUCAUUUUAAAUUAAUUAACUAAAAAUAAUUAAUGUCAAAGAUUAGAGAGUGAGGCAUUAGCUAACACUUUUUUAGUGCAACGGGGAUAAAAAUCAAACCUUCAAAAUAUUGGUAAGAAGUUCAUAUUAAUUAUUAUUGUUGUGUUAAAUUAAUUUUGAUUAUUGCACAUGAACUUUAUUUGGCUUCGUUGAUGGCUCUAAUCCAAAACCUGCAAGAAUUCUUGCAGAAACUACCAUGGGUGUCUCUCCAUCUUCUUCAUUCGACCCAACCGCUUCUGCCCAAACAACAACACCCACCCAACCAAACCCACUCCAUGAUGAAUGGAUUGCCAAAGAUCAUGCCUUCAUCACCCUCAUCAAUGCUACCCCUCUCUUCCAGUGCCCUCUUGCCUACAUUUAUUGGCUGCUCCGCAUCCAAAGAUAUAUAUGGCAUACCCUAGAGAAACACUACCUAUCCAACUCUCAAGUCAAUGUGGUGAACCUCAAAUUUGAACUCCAAACCAUCUCCAAAGAAAGCAAGCGAAUCAAUAAACUUCUACAUUUGAAUGCAUCAAAGAACUAAAAGAU
rnacentral:lncRNA from 1 species